rnacentral:rRNA from 1 species
GAUGAACGCUGGCGGCGUGCCUAAUACAUGCAAGUCGAGCGAACAGACGAGGAGCUUGCUCCUCUGACGUUAGCGGCGGACGGGUGAGUAACACGUGGAUAACCUACCUAUAAGACUGGGAUAACUUCGGGAAACCGGAGCUAAUACCGGAUAAUAUAUUGAACCGCAUGGUUCAAUAGUGAAACGCGGUUUGCCUGUCACUUUUAGAUGAUUCCGCGCCGCAUUAGCUAGUUGGUAAGGUAACGGCUUACCAAGGCAACGAUGCGUAGCCGACCUGAGAGGGUGAUCGGCCACACUGGAACUGAGACACGGUCCAGACUCCUACGGGAGGCAGCAGUAGGGAAUAUUCCGCAAUGGGCGAAAGCCUGACGGAGCAACGCCGCGUGAGUGAUGAAGGUCUUCGGAUCGUAAAACUCUGUUAUUAGGGAAGAACAACUGUGUAAGUAACUCUGCACGUCUUGACGGUACCUAAUCAGAAAGCCACGGCUAACUACGUG